rnacentral:rRNA from 1 species
CACGUAGGGUGCGAGCGUUGUCCGGAAUUAUUGGGCGUAAAGAGCUCGUAGGCGGUGUGUCGCGUCGGCCGUGAAAACCUGCAGCUUAACUGUGGGCUUGCGGUCGAUACGGGCAUCACUGGAGUUCGGCAGGGGAGACUGGAAUUCCUGGUGUAGCGGUGAAAUGCGCAGAUAUCAGGAGGAACACCGGUGGCGAAGGCGGGUCUCUGGGCCAAUACUGACGCUCAGGCACGAAAGCGUGGGGAGCAAACAGG